rnacentral:lncRNA from 1 species
CUGAUAUGUACUCCAGGUACACCUAUUUGGGUUAUGAUAAUUAGGCUUUAUGGAGAGUUUUGUUUACCGUCCCUACUUUGACUUUUGAGACCUUUCUUCACAUUUACGAGGACCUAUUUGGUUUUGCAUGCCUUGGGAGUAGCUGAGCGCUGUGGAUCUCUGCAUUCUUUGUUUUUACUGCAUUUGUCUUUUCUUUCUGAAAUUGUUUUUGCAUUAAAGUUUCAAAUACAUAAACAUUGAUUAUUAUAAGUAUGCUUUGAUAAUGACUGAAAUCAUUGUGAAGACUUCUUUUCAAAUCCAGAUUGGUAGGAAGGUGGCCUGGAGCAGUGGCCGAAUUAAUUGGGUCAGUGGUCAAAAGAAGAGCAACACACCCUCAGAGGGGCCCCAGUGCUGGAAUGAGAGAGAAGCAGGCCUCUGACCUCUGGCUGAGGUGUUGAGCACAGUUCAACAGGAUGACCAUG